rnacentral:rRNA from 1 species
GAUGAACGCUGGCGGCGUGCCUAAUACAUGCAAGUCGAGCGAACAGAUGAGGAGCUUGCUCCUCUGACGUUAGCGGCGGACGGGUGAGUAACACGUGGAUAACCUACCUAUAAGACUGGGAUAACUUCGGGAAACCGGAGCUAAUACCGGAUAAUAUAUUGAACCGCAUGGUUCAAUAGUGAAAGACGGUUUCGCUGUCACUUAUAGAUGGAUCCGCGCCGCAUUAGCUAGUUGGUAAGGUAACGGCUUACCAAGGCAACGAUGCGUAGCCGACCUGAGAGGGUGAUCGGCCACACUGGAACUGAGACACGGUCCAGACUCCUACGGGAGGCAGCAGUAGGGAAUCUUCCGCAAUGGGCGAAAGCCUGACGGAGCAACGCCGCGUGAGUGAUGAAGGUCUUCGGAUCGUAAAACUCUGUUAUUAGGGAAGAACAAAUGUGUAAGUAACUAUGCACGUCUUGACGGUACCUAAUCAGAAAGCCACGGCUAACUACGUG